rnacentral:rRNA from 1 species
CGACGCAGCGACGCCGCGUGCGGGAAGAAGGCCUUCGGGUUGUAAACCGCUUUCAGGAGGGACGAAGCCACUCGGGUUAAUAGCCUAGAGGGUGACGGUACCUCCAGAAGAAGCCCCGGCUAACUACGUGCCAGCAGCCGCGGUAAUACGGGGGGGGCAAGCGUUGUUCGGAAUUACUGGGCGUAAAGGGCUCGUAGGCUGCCAACUAAGUCAGACGUGAAAUCCCCAGGCUCAACCUGGGAACUGCGUCUGAUACUGGAUGGCUUGAAUUCGGGAGAGGGAUGCAGAAUUCCAGGUGUAGCGGUGAAAUGCGUAGAUAUCUGGAGGAAUACCGGUGGCGAAGGCGGCAUCCUGGACCGACAUUGACGCUGAGGAGCGAAAGCUAGGGGAGCAAACGGGAUUAGAUACCCCGGUAGUCCUAGCCCUAAACGAUGAAUGCUUGGUGUAACGGGUAUCGAUCCCUGUUGUGCCGAAGCUAACGCAUUAAGCAUUCCGCCUGGGGAGUACGGUCGCAAGGCUG